rnacentral:misc_RNA from 1 species
GAAAUGCGAUACGCAAUGCGAAUUGCAGAAUUCCGCGAGUCAUCAGAUCUUUGAACGCAACUGGCGCCGGUUUACCGGCAUGUUUGUUUCAGUGUGUUUGGAGAGUAAAUCAAUCACUUCAAGCAGAAUGCGAUUGAGGGGCUUAGCUUCUCUCUCGUUAAAUGCGAAGGUGUGAGGCAGAGGUUCCUUACACUGGAAACGAAGUAGUCACGCAUAGUCCGUGAUCUCGUAUCCAUGUGUUUUAAGGGGAUUUCAACGCAAGACACCUGAAGUAUCAUUGCUCCAUAUUCGACACCUGAAAUCAAGCAAGGCUACCCGCUGAACUUAA